AAAGGGGAAUAACUCUAAGGAAAAUGUGACUAGCCUGCAAAAGUUUGAAGAAUAUUGGAUUACUAACUUUUAUUGAAAAAUCGUGAAAAGAUCAUUGGUUUUCAUAAAAAUGAUGAAGUCCGGAAAAAUGAAAGUUAAAAAGUCUAAAAACGAUUCACUAACCCCCAAAAAAGAAGGAAAAUUAAAAGUUAAAAAAGCUAAAAAGGAUUCACUGACCCCAAAAGAAGGAAAAUUGCAAGUUAAAAAAUUUAAAAAGGAUUCAUUUACUUUAAAAGAAGGAAAAUUGAAAGUUAAGAAGUUUGAAAGGGAUUUAGUGACACCAAAAGAAACCAUCAAGUCAGAAAUAAUAUACCCUAAAAGAGUUCAAGUUAUUGGUCUUAAGAAAGAUGACCAAAAAAAGAAAAUAAAUGUUCCUCAUCAGAAAUCAUUUUCACAAACUUCGACGCAGAAGAACACCAUCAUUGCUGAACAAAAGGAAGUUUUAAGAAAUCUGACAGAUAUCAAACUAAUAGUCAAGAAUCUCAGUUUUAAGACAAAAGAAGAAAAUUUAAAACAUUUUUUUAAUGGCGCGAGUUCUAUUCAUGUUCCAAAAUUCUCAGAUACAGGAAACUCAAAAGGGUUUGCUUUUGUUACGUAUAAAAGUAAAGAUGAUGCGAAGAUUGUAAAACAUUCUAUGAAUCGAAGAAAAAUUGAUGGUAGAAGAAUCAGUAUUCAUUUUAUGGCAAAAUCUGAGGUCAAGAAUCAGGAUUCUAAAUCAUCCACGCCCAAAAAACCUAAUUUAUAUCCACGGAAACCGUCUUCAGUAUUACAAGUACCAAAGAGACAGUAUUCGUUUGCUGAUGACAGUGAUUGAAUUAAUCAAUAAAAUCACAUGGAACCGAUUCUGAUAUGCUGAGGAAGAGAGGAAUGAUGGGUUUUUCCCUUAUAUCUUGUGUAUAGUAUAAAAGAAUGAUGGGUUUUUCCCUUAUAUCUUGUGUAUCAUAUAUAUAAAGGAGCUGUGUAUGUAACUCUGUACAUAUGUAAAUAUACAAGAUGAUUUUGUUACAAUUUGAAUGUGAAGACACUUUGUGAGGAUAAUGAUGAAUAUUGAGAUGGAUCCUUGUCUGUGAGCUGGGUAGAAAUUGUUUUGGAUAUCGAGAUUGAACCUUUUCUGUGAGCCGGAUAGAAAUUGUUUUGUAUAUCAAGAUUGAACCUUGUCUGUGCAUUGGGUAGAAAUUGUUUUGGAUAUCGAGAUUGAACCUUGUCUGUGAGCUGGGUAGAAAUUGUUUUGGAUAUCGAGAUUGAACCUUGUCUGUGAGCUGGGUAAAAAUUGUUUUGGAUAUCGAGAUUGAACCUUGUCUGUGCGCUGGGUAGAAAUUGUUUUGGAUACCAAAUUGAACCUUGUCUGUGCGUAUGGAUACUGAAAUUUCAACCUUGUCCGUUUCGUGAGCAUUGGUAGAUAUUGCUGUAAUACUGAGAUGGGUCCUUGUCUAUUCUGUGUGCUGGGUAGAUAUUUUAAAUUCGGCCCGUGUAUGGUUAGUACUGACAGCUGUCAGAUUCAAAAUGGUGAUCUCAACUAAUCAUUAAUCCAAGACAACUGAUUAGUAUUACUCAUUUACGCGAUCCGGAUUAUUGGCGGCCAGUUGAUUAAUUUAUAGUACCCCGCCAUGUGAUUGACACUCAAUAAUGGUUAAUCCAGGAUCAAUACGAUUAGAAUUUUAAGAUUUCUUUCAGCCAGUUCUAAAAAAGUAUCGCCAGUACCGUAAAAAAUUAUCGCCAAAAUCAAAUUUUAAUCACCACUUUCAUAUUUUUAUCGCAAAUUACGACUCUGGCGACAGUGUAAGCCCUGGAUCUCAUCGUCAGUAAAAUUUAUCCAUACAAUUUAAUAAUCUCGAAAUUUGAAUUAUUAUAAACAGAAUGUAUAUAUUAUUAUUAUCUGUCAUAUACAUGUAUAACAAAAUCUACAUGCAUUUCAGGGGGGGUUGGAUGGCUGAAUGGUUAGCGUGCGCGCACUGUAUCAUAAAGUCUGUCAUUGAGUCGACUGGCGUGGUUUCGAAUCCCCGGUUGUACGUGACAAGGAGUAGGGUCGCCUGUCCAACCUCGUGGGUUUUCUCCGGGUCCUCCGGUUUCCUCCCACUGCUAAAGACCCCUAUGCGCAAGCGAAUUAUUGAAAUAAAAAAAUUUAAAAACCAUAUGUUAGUCCCGAAAUGACCUAGUUUGUGUCGAGUGGACGUUAAAACCCAUUUCUCUCUCUUUCACAUGCAUUUCAAUUUUCAUUUCGACUGAUAGGGGUAGCCGAAUGUUUUAACAUGUGUACCUUGGAUCAUAAGGUCUGUCCUUGACUAGGGGGGUUGGAUGGCCGAAUGGUUAGCACGUGUGGGCUGUAGAGAGAGAUAGAGAAAUGGGGUUUAAUGUCCACUCGACACAAACUAGGUCAUUUCGGGACUAACAUGGUUUAAUUUUAUUUCAAUAAUUCGCUUGCGCGUAGGGGUCUUUAGCAGUGGGAGCAAACCGGAGGACCCGGAGAAAACCCGUACAACCAGGGAUUCGAAACCGCGCCAGUCGACUCAAUGACAGACUUUAUGAUACAGCGCGCACACGCUAACCAUUCAGCCAUCCAACCCCCACGUGCGGGCUGUACCAUAAAGUCUGUCAUUGAGUCAACUGGCAUGGGUUUGAUUUCCCGGUUGUACGUUAACAAGGGUCGCCUGUCCAACCUCGUGGGUUUUCUCAGGGCCCUCCGGUUUCCUUCCACUGCUAAAGUAAAGACCCCUACGCGCAAGCGAAUUAUGGAAAUAAAAUUGAACCAUAUGUGAGUCCCGAAAUGAUCUAGUUUGUGUCAAGUGGACGUUAAACCGAAUUUCUCCAUCUCUCUCUCUGUCCUGGACUCAACUGGCAUGUUUCAAUUCCUCGCUUAUACGUGACAAGGAGUAGGGCCGCCUGUCCAACCUAGAGGGUUUUCUCUGGGUCCUUUGGUUUCCUCCCACAGCUAAAGACACCUACAUGCAUGAGAAUUAUUAAAAUUAUAUUGAGCCAUAUGUUAGUCUUGAAAUGACCUAGUUUGUUUUGAGUGGACAUUAAUCCCCAUUUCUCUCUUCCUCUCCCAGUGUGGGCUGAAUGAAAACCAAGGAAAUAUCUGGCAAUGACACUACAGCUAUGGGGAACGACACAUUUUGGAUAUCUCAAUAUAGGGACGGAUUUUGAGUUUGUUUUGAGUGGACAUUAAACCCCAUUUCUCUCACUGUUUUUGACUGAACUUGAAUUGGCAGAGCCGUAGAUAUUUUUAAAGGGUGUCACCCAUGAGGAAGAAAGUGAUUACCAAGUGUAAAAAACUACCGGUAGUUGAAAGUUAAAAAAAAAAAAAAAUCAAGGGCUUACCGAAUUGAUCAGUCUGUAUCCAAAUUUAUUCACACAUUGAGCAAACAAUUAAAAUAUAUUGAAACAAUAGUUAUAAUAUUUUUAUUUGACAGAACUGGUCUGACUGUGACAUCGUACUGCUCUGCAGAGUUUGACAACAUCUAGACGUUGCUAGGAUGGUCUCAAUUCCCGAACUAAAUCUACGUUAUCUCCCUUUAACCCCAUCACGUGACCGAUAGCGUCAAAUCAGAUGUUGUGACACAAACAUACUUUAAUCAAACAUGCUGACCUCCACAGAAAUCUUGACAUGGAACAAACCUUGAACUUUGCAUCUCGAUUAUCACAGAUAGACAUUGUAGCUGAAAAUCGCAAAACUUGGACUCUGAUAGGCUCCCCAGCUGGGUCAAUAGCCAAUCGAAAUUAGUGCCGAAAUAUGCAGGGUAUUAAGUCAAAGGCUCGAUAAGAUGUACGGAGUUAAAGCGAGAUCAAGCCUUCUAUUGAAGAUGACACUGGCUGUGAGCGGACCGAAUUCCGCGUCACUCGAUUGCAUUUCUGAAAAAUCGUUACUUUCUGAACUGACAAUCGAGCACACUCUUUCCCGUGAUAUCAACUGGCAGACUAUUGCCAUUCAAGAGACGACCACCGUCAAGAUCUUUCACAUUACUGGAUAUAUUCGUCAACCGAAUUUCGAAUAUUCUAGAAUGAUAGGGAUAAUUAUUCGCCAUCUGUUUUAUACAAUAAACCUAAAAUUCUAA